UUGGCACAGGAAAGUCUAAAAUAGACUUCU
rnacentral:piRNA from 1 species